CCUACGGGAGGCAGCAGUGGGGAAUAUUGGACAAUGGGGGCAACCCUGAUCCAGCCAUGCCGCGUGUGUGAAGAAGGCCCUCGGGUUGUAAAGCACUUUCAGUGAGGAAGAACGCCUGGUGGUUAAUACCUAUCAGGAAAGACAUCACUCACAGAAGAAGCACCGGCUAACUCCGUGCCAGCAGCCGCGGUAAUACGGAGGGUGCGAGCGUUAAUCGGAAUUACUGGGCGUAAAGCGCGCGUAGGUGGCUUGAUAAGCCGGUUGUGAAAGCCCCGGGCUCAACCUGGGAACGGCAUCCGGAACUGUCAAGCUAGAGUGCAGGAGAGGAAGGUAGAAUUCCCGGUGUAGCGGUGAAAUGCGUAGAGAUCGGGAGGAAUACCAGUGGCGAAGGCGGCCUUCUGGACUGACACUGACACUGAGGUGCGAAAGCGUGGGUAGCAAACAGGAUUAGAUACCCGUGUAGUC
rnacentral:rRNA from 1 species